rnacentral:rRNA from 1 species
AUUGAACGCUGGCGGCAGGCCUAACACAUGCAAGUCGAGCGGAUGAAGGGAGCUUGCUCCUGGAUUCAGCGGCGGACGGGUGAGUAAUGCCUAGGAAUCUGCCUGGUAGUGGGGGAUAACGUCCGGAAACGGGCGCUAAUACCGCAUACGCCCUGAGGGAGAAAGUGGGGGAGCUUCGGACCUCACGCUAUCAGAUGAGCCUAGGUCGGAUUAGCUAGUUGGUGGGGUAAAGGCCUACCAAGGCGACGAUCCGUAACUGGUCUGAGAGGAGGAUCAGUCACACUGGAACUGAGACACGGUCCAGACUCCUACGGGAGGCAGCAGUGGGGAAUAUUGGACAAUGGGCGAAAGCCUGAUCCAGCCAUGCCGCGUGUGUGAAGAAGGUCUUCGGAUUGUAAAGCACUUUAAGUUGGGAGGAAGGGCAGUAAGUUAAUACCUUGCUGUUUUGACGUUACCAACAGAAUAAGCACCGGCUAACUUCGUG